UAGCAGAUAAAAGAAAUCACGGAGAAGAUGCAGGAUAGCCUGGAAUACAGGAAUGAGAUAUAAAACAUCACAAGUAACAGUUUCUCUUUCAGCCAAAAAAUAAGAGGGGGAGGUCAAACAAGUUCAUCCUUCUGAGAAUAACACAUAGCUCAACUAUGCAGCCCCUCUCCAGGCAAAGGGAAGAUAAACUUACCGAUAUCCUAGGAAAGAAAGGAUGGAUCGAUGAUGAGAAUUAUGCUGCAUGAUAGCAAGCUCUAGUGCCAUGGAAAUGGAGAGCAGAGCAAUAGAGAUAUUUUGAGUGGGAAAAACAGGGGGAAGCUGGCAGGAGAAGGGAUUGUCACCACGACAAGGGGUGACAGCUGGGAGGAUGCAACUGCAGCUUGGCCUGCUUGAGAAAUGCAGAGGCAAAAUUAUCUAGGCAGGGAGAUGUGCACAAAAGAACAAGAUUGCAAAGGAGAUGAAGUGUGUCAGGGAUUAGAGAUAGUCCAGCAAGCAAAACAAAUGCAGAUGAAGCAUAAAAAGACAACAGCAUUUUAAAGGUGUGUGUAGCUUUCAAGGCAUUCAUAUGGCAGAAAAAAAUGGAAUUGGCUUUAACUGAUUUAUGGGAACUCCUCAAAGACAAACAGAAGUAAUUGUUGUUUUCAAUAACAUUUACUACAGGAUACUGCAGCCUGACUCUGGUUUGAUUCUUAGAGGAACUGCUUGUCUUUCAAGUAGCUGCAAUCAGCUCCCAAGGCUUUAUAUAAUGCGGCAGCAAACUCAGAAUACGGUGCAUAAAGUUUUCAUAGCUGCAUUAGACUGGAAAACAUCCUGGCCCACAUUCCAACUCCUGCCAUCUCCAGUUCUGCUGCUGAGAGCUCCCAACCUCAGUCUCGGUGACAGAUAUUUACAUUUGGAGACAGAAUCAACAGUGCAAGGCCAGACCUGUGCCCUCAUUGCUCUCAAAAAUAAGAAGAGAUGUCUGGAAAUUAAAAACCACAGAACGGCUUGAGUUGGAAGGGACCUCAGUCAUCAUCCAGUUCCACUCCUACACCAUGGGCAGGGUUGCCAACUUACUCAGGCAUCUUUAUGGGCACAGAGCAGCAUAUGCCUCUGCCCUUCACAAUGACUUUCUUCAAGCACUUGCAUUUGAAUGUUGCUUUCCCCUUUCUGGAUGAUUAUCUGUCCUCUGCUGUAAGGAGAUGAAGACAUAUACCAUUCUGAACCACAUUUGAGGGUGUUUCCAACUAAGCUUGCUGAGGGAUGAAGCUAUAAGGACUCAUUGCCAAGAAAUGCUAGUGGAUACACACCUUCACCCCUCUCGCAGAGAACUAUUGAUGGGCUCACGUGGCUGAGAUAUUUAUGAAGAAACUUCUUGUACAAGAGGAGGUUUAUUCCUCAGAGAAUGAAUCAAUCCAGGAUUGUCACUUCUAGAUUGAAAUACGCCAAGAUGAAUAUCUCUUCCACUUCAUACUGUUAUCACUCUUUGUUACCAACUUAUUAUGGACUACAGGUAGCAAGUGCUUCUGGACUUACAGCAAUACACCAAAGCUGUCAGAUGGCCAGGAGCUUCCAACCAGACCCUGCAUGAUUUGAGUGGCCCAAUGGAUUGUUUUGGUUCUACUUGUGAGCUAUUUUGAAAUAUUACAGUGUCCAUUACCGCAGUAUUAGCACUUCACUGUCCUUAAUGCUGUUUAAUCCAUCAGUUUUAGAGUCCCAAACCAAGGACUCCCUGCCAGCAGUCACCGCUACCGAUGCAGUGCACACUGUCAGAUUGCAACCUUGGCCAUAACAAGGUCAUGUAAUAAAGCACAUGACAGAGGAAAGACUGUAAUAAUAAUUAUUUCCAUUGUGUAUAAUAAAUAAUAUAAUAAAGCUUAGUUGUAAGCAUUAGAAGAGCUGUGAAAGUCAAG
ensembl:lncRNA